rnacentral:rRNA from 1 species
AGAUUGAACGCUGGCGGCAUGCCUUACACAUGCAAGUCGAACGGCAGCACGGGAGCAAUCCUGGUGGCGAGUGGCGAACGGGUGAGUAAUACAUCGGAACGUGCCCAGUUGUGGGGGAUAGCCCGGCGAAAGCCGGAUUAAUACCGCAUACGACCUACGGGUGAAAGCGGGGGAUCGCAAGACCUCGCGCUAUUGGAGCGGCCGAUGUCGGAUUAGCUUGUUGGUAGGUAAAAGCCUACCAAGGCUACGAUCCGUAGCUGGUCUGAGAGACGACCAGCCACGACUGGGACUGAGACACGGCCCAGACCUCCUACGGGAGGCAGCGAGUGGGAAUUUGGACAAGUGGGCGAAAGCCUGAUCCAGCCAUCGCCGCGUGACGGGAAGAACGGUCCGUUCGGGUUACGUAAACCGGUCGUUUUAGUCGAAGGG